rnacentral:pre_miRNA from 9 species
UAUCGAUAGCGUAAAGGUUAACACAAUUUUGUAUGGAAUUGGAACGUGUGCCUACGUUUCCGCUAGGGGCGCUGUUCCGAUUGCAUACAAAUUUGAGUUAACUUCCACGCGAGCGA